UACGGAAGGCAGCAGUGGGGAAUAUUGCACAAUGGGCGAAAGCCUGAUGCAGCUAUGCCGCGUGUAUGAAGAAGGCCUUAGGGUUGUAAAGUACUUUCAUCGGGGAGGAAAAAACAAAACUAAUAAUUUUAUUUCUUGACGUUACCCGAAAAAGAAGCACCGGCUAACUCCGUGCCAGCAGCCGGGGUAAUACGGAGGGUGCUAGCGUUAAUCAGAAUUACUGGGCGUAAAGAGCACGUAGGUGGUUUUUUUAAGUCAGAUGUGAAAUCCCUGGGCUUAACCUGGAACUGCAUUUUGAAACUGAAAUACUAGAGUAUCGUAGAGGGAGGUAGAAUUCUAGGUGUAGCGGUGAAAUGCGUAGAUAUCUGGAGGAAUACCUGUGGCGAAAGCGGCCUCCUAAACGAAUACUGACACUGAGGGUGCGAAAGCGUGGGGAGCAAACAGGGAUUAGAUACCCGU
rnacentral:rRNA from 1 species